UACGUAGGGUGCAAGCGUUGUCCGGAAUUAUUGGGCGUAAAGAGCUCGUAGGCGGUUUGUCGCGUCGAAUGUGAAAACCUGGGGCUCAACCCCGGGCCUGCAGCCGAUACGGGCAAGCUAGAAUUCGGUAGGGGAGACUGGAAUUCCUGGUGUAGCGGUGAAAUGCGCAGAUAUCAGGAGGAACACCGGUGGCGAAGGCGGGUCUCUGGGCCGAUAUUGACGCUGAGGAGCGAAAGCGUGGGGAGCAAACAGG
rnacentral:rRNA from 1 species